UUGUUAAAAAAGAUAAUAAAAAAACUUUUAUUUUAUAGGUUGCUAGCUUAGAACAGCGAUUAAAAAAUUUGGAAAGUGUGAUUGGUCAAGAUAAGAUAAAAUGGUCUUCCCUUACUUCAAAUACUGAUGGUAAAAGUAUUACUGUAAGUGUUUUUAAAAUUUAUGAAAAUUUUAUUCAUUACUUACUUAAUUUAAAAUACUUAAAUAGUUUUGUUUUAAAAACAAAUUUUGAUUUUUGUAUUUGCUAAUUACUUAAAGUCAAUUAGUUUCAUAGCAAGAUUGCCACGGUUGACUAAAAUGCAACUAUUUUCAACCUGAGGCAACUUUUUUUUACCUGAAAAGGUUAAUACUUUUUUCGGUGCUCCUAAUGAUGUUAAGGGGAAUUAAAUAUCGACUAUGUCAAACUUCAUCUAUCAAAAAGUACCUCGUGAUGGAUUCAAGUUAACAUGUCUUAUAUACUAGUGAUUUGGUGUUUAAUAUUUGUAGUGGUAGUUACGUUACAAUGUUUUUUUUUUGUUUUGUUUUUUUAAGCAUAAAUUGGGUUGAUAACCCUAAACACAAUGACUUUUUUUCUUAAAAAAAAAAUGUUGCAAAUUUGAGGUAUCACUUUUCAAUGCGUUCAAUUUGAACAGAUUCCAUUGUAAGUCUAUUUUUUAUCUCGAUUGCCUUUUUGAUGGUUAUUGCUACGAAAUUCGGCAGAUUUUAAAAAACCCAAAUUUUAAUACGAUUGUAGGAUGUGUGAUUUUCGAGUUUGAAUAAUCACUUUUCACAUGUGUAUAUAUAUUUGCUAAAUCAAUUAUU